UACGGAGGGUGCAAGCGUUGUUCGGAAUUACUGGGCGUAAAGGGCGCGUAGGCGGUCGACCAAGUCUGAUGUGAAAGCCCGGGGCUCAACCCCGGAAGUGCAUUGGAAACUGGUCGACUUGAGUUCGGGAGAGGAGGGCAGAAUUCCCGGUGUAGGGGUGAAAUCCGUAGAUAUCGGGAGGAAAACCAGUGGCGAAGGCGGCCCUCUGGAACGUGACUGACGCUGAGGCGCGAAAGCGUGGGGAGCAAACAGG
rnacentral:rRNA from 1 species